rnacentral:rRNA from 1 species
GAUGAACGCUGGCGGCGUGCCUAAUACAUGCAAGUCGAGCGAACAGAUGAGGAGCUUGCUCCUCUGACGUUAGCGGCGGACGGGUGAGUAACACGUGGAUAACCUACCUAUAAGACUGGGAUAACUUCGGGAAACCGGAGCUAAUACCGGAUAAUAUAUUGAACCGCAUGGUUCAAUAGUGAAAGACGGUUUUGCUGUCACUUAUAGAUGGAUCCGCGCCGCAUUAGCUAGUUGGUAAGGUAACGGCUUACCAAGGCAACGAUGCGUAGCCGACCUGAGAGGGUGAUCGGCCACACUGGAACUGAGACACGGUCCAGACUCCUACGGGAGGCAGCAGUAGGGAAUCUUACGCAAGGGGCGAAAGCCUGACGGAGCAACGACGCGUGAGUGAUGAAGGUCUUCGGAUCGUAAAACUCUGUUAUUAGGGAAGAACAAAUGUGUAAGUAACUAUGCACGUCUUGACGGUACCUAAUCAGAAAGCCACGGAUAACUACGUG